GCUACGGGCGGCAGCAGUGAGGAAUAGUGGUCAAUGGACGGAAGUCUGAACCAGCCAUGCCGCGUGCAGGAAGACGGCUCUAUGAGUUGUAAACUGCUUUUGUACAAGGGUAAACCUGAAUACGUGUAUGCAGCUGAAAGUACUGUACGAAUAAGGAUCGGCUAACUCCGUGCCAGCAGCCGCGGUAAUACGGAGGAUCCAAGCGUUAUCCGGAGUUAUUGGGUUUAAAGGGUGCGUAGGCGGAUUGAUAAGUUAGAGGGGAAAUGUCCGCGCUUAACUCGGGAACUGCCUCUAAUACUGUUGAUCUAGUGCGUAGAUGCGGUAGGCGUAAUGUCUGGUGUAGCCG
rnacentral:rRNA from 1 species